CGGGGUGAGGAACACAUCGGAAUCUACCCUGUCGUGGGGGACAACGUAGGGAAACUUACGCUAAUACCGCAUACGACCUUUGGGUGAAAGCGGGGGACUCGCAAGAGCCUCGCGCGAUUGGAUGAGCCGAUGUCCGAUUAGCUAGUUGGCGGGGUAAUGGCCCACCAAGGCGACGAUCGGUAGCUGGUCUGAGAGGACGAUCAGCCACACUGGGAUUGAGAACGGCCCAG
rnacentral:rRNA from 1 species